rnacentral:lncRNA from 1 species
CCGAUGCAUGCAAGGAUUUACGAAAAUAAACGAGAGGAGUUCCACUCAUAAAAACCGACUAGCCCCGCUAGUCACAUAUGAUUUAAAAGAAAAAGUUGGAACUCCGAUACUCAAGGAAAAUAAUACCAGCCCCGCUGGAUAAACAAAAAUCGAGCUAGCCCCGCUAGCUAAAGUAGUAAAGUGAGUAGGGGAAAGCGAUAGCCAUACAAGUGAGCCUCCCAGGCUUGGGUGAUAGCCUCCCAGGCUAAAGAAACUCCCAUAACUCCCGUAAUAUACCCUUACGCCACUAAGUGUAGCGAUAGGAUACCGGGCUACAGAAUUACUAUCACAUAGACAGUAACCUGCGCCACAAAGGCGGAGGGCUACGGUGAUCCCAUCACCGCGCCACAAAGGCG